rnacentral:rRNA from 1 species
AACGAACGCUGGCGGCAUGCCUAACACAUGCAAGUCGAACGAGACCUUCGGGUAUAGUGGCGCACGGGAGCGUAACGCGUGGGAACCUGCACUUAGGUUGGGAAUAACUCCCCGAAAGGGGUGCUAAUACCGGAUAAUGUCUUCGGACCAAAGAUGUAUCGCCUUUGGAUGGGCCCGCGUUGGAUUAGCUAGUUGGUAGGGUAAAAGCCUACCAAGGCGACGAUCCAUAGCUGGUCUGAGAGGAUGAUCAGACACACUGGGACUGAGACACGGCCCAGACUCCUACGGGAGGCAGCAGUGGGGAAUAUUGGACAAUGGGCGAAAGCCUGAUCCAGCAAUGCCGCGUGAGUGAUGAAGGCCUUAGGGUUGUAAAGCUCUUUUACCCGGGAUGAUAAUGACAGUACCGGGAGAAUAAGCGCCGGCUAACUCCGUG